rnacentral:lncRNA from 1 species
GGUGAUUUUUCCCUUGGCGCCAUCCUUCGGCCCGGCCGGCGACACCGACUUGGUCUCGGCGGCUGCGGCGGUGGCGUACUCGGCCACGCGCGAGAGGAGGUAGCCGUAGGGCGAUGCGCGGUGGGGCGGAGGGGAGGGGGAGGUGAGCCUGGGGUGGGAGUUGGAGAUCGGAGAUUUGGACGGAGAUCGGCGAACGGAGGAACGGGCGAGAGUGGAUAAGAGCCGACGGGAAGCCAUCUGGU